AUUAUUAAGGUUGGAAAAGACCUCCAAGAUCACUUGGUCCAACCAUCCCCCUAACACCAAUAUCACCCACUAUACUAUGUCUCCUAAGCA